CCGCGGUAAUACGUAGGGUGCAGGCGUUAAUCGGAAUUACUGGGCGUAAAGCGUGCGCAGGCGGUUUGCUAAGUCUGAUGUGAAAGCCCUGGGCUCAACCUGGGAAUUGCAUUGGAUACUGGCGGGCUAGAGUGCGGUAGAGGGUAGUGGAAUUCCCGGUGUAGCAGUGAAAUGCGUAGAGAUCGGGAGGAACAUCCGUGGCGAAGGCGACUGCCUGGACCAGCACUGACACUGAGGCACGAAAGCGUGGGGAGCAAACAGG
rnacentral:rRNA from 1 species